GUGCCUGCUUCAGCAGCACAUAUCCUAGUACUGGAACAAUACAGAGAUUAGUACAGCCCCUGUGCAAGGAUGACACCAAUUGUCAUGAAGCAUUCAAAAAAAAA
ensembl:snRNA U6 U6 spliceosomal RNA